GAUGAACGCUAGCGGCAGGCCUAACACAUGCAAGUCGAGGGGCAGCACGAUUGUGCUUGCUUAAUUGGUGGCGACCGGCGCACAGGUGCGUAACGCGUAUGCAACCUACCUUAUACUGGGGUAUAGCCCGAAGAAAUUCGGAUUAAUCCCCCAUAGCAUUAUCGAUUCGCAUGUUUUGAUAAUUAAAGGUUACGGUAUAA
rnacentral:rRNA from 1 species